GCAGCUGACUAUUGUUUUUGAUUUUUCCCUUUGUUUUUUUGUUUUUUGUUUUUUGGUCUGAUUUUUCCCCAUUUCCUAGUAGAUGAAAAUGAAGUUGCCCACAUAAACCCACUCAAUCUCUAAAGCUCAGAGCUUCAUAAGCAUUCUUACUCAGAGCUCUCUGAUCACUUCCAUGGCUUCCCUCCAAUCUUUCUCAAAACCCGUCUCGCAAAAUCCACAUAUUACCAGAAAACCAGUUGAUCAUUCUCUUAGUUUGAGUCUAAUUCCACGAAACCUUGCAUUUUUAGGACCUGGGUUACGUUUUAUUCACCAUGGGUCCGCCAAAGAGAUGAAAAUCAUCAGAAGCUUGAAACGAACCGAAGCUGUGACUGACAUUUUUGUGGCAGAUUACAGCAUUCAAGUUUCUGAUGUCCCACUGCUGACUUGCUCAGAGGCAAUGGAAAGGCUAAAAACAAACCGCGAAAAUCAAAAGGGUACACAAGAGUUUCUAGCCAUGUAUUCUAGCAUUUUUGGAGGAAUAACUACAGAUCCAUCUGCUAUGGUGAUCCCUAUUGAUGACCACAUGGUCCACAGAGGGCAUGGGGUUUUCGACACUGCUGCUAUAAGGGACGGAUAUCUGUACGAGCUGGACCAGCACAUUGACCGUAUUUUGAGGUCAGCAUCCAUGGCCAAAAUUGGCCUACCGUUUGAUAGAGAAAGCAUUAGAAAAAUACUCAUACAAACAGUGAGUGCUUCCAAGUGCAAAACAGGAUCACUAAGGUACUGGCUCUCGGCAGGACCUGGUGAUUUUCAGUUGUCUCCCUCUGGUUGCAAUCAGCCAGCUCUUUAUGCUAUUGUAGUCCAAGACAAAUCACCUUUUAGUUCAAAGGGUGUUAAAGUAGUAACGUCGUCAAUCCCUAUAAAACCACCCCAAUUUGCGGUUAUGAAGAGUGUGAAUUAUCUUCCGAAUGUGCUUUCAAAGAUGGAGGCUGAAGAAAAAGGUGCCUUUGCAGCGAUUUGGCUGGAUGGUGAUGGAUUUAUUGCGGAAGGUCCCAACAUGAAUGUGGCUUUUGUUACAAAAGAUAAGGAACUUCUGAUGCCUCAGUUUGACAAAAUACUAAGUGGCUGCACGGCUAAGAGAGUUUUGGCGCUUGCAGAAGGCCUGGUGAAGGAGGGUAAGCUUCAGGCAGUGAGAGUCGUAAAUGUGACUGUUGAGGAAGGGAAAAAGGCAGAUGAGAUGAUGCUUAUUGGCAGUGGAAUUCUUGUUCGCCCUAUAGUGCAAUGGGACGAGCAGAUCAUUGGUGAUGGCAAAGAAGGACCCUUGACUCAGAUUCUCCUGAAUCUUAUCAUCAAGGACAUGGAAUCCGGCCCCCUUACUGUCCGAACGCCUAUUCCUAACUAGCCGACACCGUCUGAUACUUUCAAUCCUGUUGAAAUCUCAAGCACCGGAAACCAGUCAUGACCCAAUUGGGACAUUUCUAUCCAGUGUUCACUUUGGAGCUCUGCUCUUUUGUAAUUGAGAAGUCAAACUUGGAUUGCUACCAUUGAGAAUGAGACGACUUAUUCCCUGGUUUUCAGCUCAAACUCGGUGACCGGAGAAACAAUCAAACAAAAUAGUUGAAAUUUCUAUGACGCCUUUCGGAUAAACCAAGAGGAAUUAGUAAAUAAUGUACUACAAUAAUGCUUAAAACAGAGAGAAUGGGGCACAAAUAAUAUUCGAAUGUCUUAGAUGGUGAUUUUUAAAUCUAGUGGAGCAUCUGUUAGUUGUUACCUAAGUCAGGGAUUAUUCCUAAUUGCAUAAGGGAUCGAUGCUUGUUUGUUUUGUUCUCACCUUUUUGUGUUCAGAAUAUUUGUUUUGAUCCAUUAGUGGGGCGGUUAUCUGAGACUAGGGGUUGAAAAUCUUAUAAAUUUUCAUCCACUUGUUUCAUUUAUGGAUUUUUGUGUUUGGAUUUUCUGUAUGCUUAGCAGGUUGGAGAUUGAGAUGAUGAGAUCAAAGAUCCACACAUGAUUCAUCAAAAUUGGCAUAGAGAACAGUGAUGGGCUUGACAAUUUGUUUGAUUCAAAAUUGUGGUGACAAUUUAUGAAUUAUUAUCUAAAAUUUAUUAUAAGAAAUUCAAACUCAGUUGGUGUAGUUA